GUGGGGAAUCUUGCGCAAUGGGCGAAAGCCUGACGCAGCCAUGCCGCGUGGAUGAUGAAGGUCUUAGGAUUGUAAAAUCCUUUCACCGGUGAAGAUAAUGACUGUAGCCGGAGAAGAAGCCCCGGCUAACUUCGUGCCAGCAGCCGCGGUAAUACGAAGGGGGCUAGCGUUGCUCGGAUUUACUGGGCGUAAAGGGCGCGUAGGCGGACAUUUAAGUCAGGGGUGAAAUCCCGGGGCUCAACCUCGGAACUGCCUUUGAUACUGGGUGUCUUGAGUAUGAGAGAGGUGUGUGGAACUCCGAGUGUAGAGGUGAAAUUCGUAGAUAUUCGGAAGAACACCAGUGGCGAAGGCGACUCACUGGCCCGUUACUGACGCUGAGGCGCGAAAGCGUGGGGAGCAAACAGGAUUAGAAACCCGAGUAGUCC
rnacentral:rRNA from 1 species